AAAUUAUUAAAAACUUUUGUAGGAAUGUGGCUGCAUCACUCUUGUCUUCACCUGCACCGGCUGCAACACUUUCACCUUCGUUUGAUCCACGCGAGGAACAUUCAUCCAGUGAAUGUGGCUGCAACACGUUCACCUUCGUCUGAUACUCGCACAAGGGCACGCAGCAACGCAACUGGGAACAAAAAAGAGAAUGUGUCUGCAUCACCUUUACCUUUACCAUCACCUGCUACUCACACACACCGUAGGUCUCUUUCAGUCUCAAAGCAACUGAGACUGAUGUGUGUUCAGUUAAAUAGGAACUGUUUUGAGCAAGGGCAUGACGACA